rnacentral:lncRNA from 1 species
AUACAGCUCUCAAAAGUCUAUAAGAUAAUUUGUCAGUCACUAACUUGCUUACUAUACACAGCCAAUUUCUAACCCUCUUGGUCACUUCACCUCGUCAGCCUUGUGGUUAGGGUCCUGUGUAUAAAAUAAAAGACAACACAAAUGUAAUACCAUUUCUUGCUUGUAAGUCAUUAAUCAUGUCAUGGGAUGUGUGUACUGAUGGUUUUUAAAAACACCUUUUCGGUUCAAUUUAUAUUAUUAUGAAUAGGAUACCAUACAUUUUAUAUUUAAUGGUUUUUAAAUAUGAAUAUAUGUGGAUUCUUUAAUUACACUAAAGUAAUAGAGGGACAUUGGUUUGAGAAAUGAGAGGCCUAAACCUAAUUAUGGAUUGUAUAUGAAGUUUGGGAAUUAUGUGGAAAUCCAUAAAUAUAUAUGAAUUAUAUAUUUAUGUUAUAUAAAUCUUGCAUAUGUAUGUAUAUAUAUAUAUAUGUAUGUAUGUAUUUGUGUGCACAUAUAUAUGUAUGUAUACUUAGAACUAGACAUUACCAAGAUUGCUUUACAUGUCUCAUUUCAGUAUUUUUCAAUUUUCUUACAGAUUUAGUAAUGUCCUGUAAGGUUAACUCUGAAUGUAGUAUGUAAGUGAGAAUAGAAAUAAAAGAAAGUAAUCGAUGGCUAUUAAGGCAAAUCCAUUUUAGAGAGGAGAGUGGAUAGUGGGAUAAAAGGUAGCCUAAUUAACGAAUAUUUAGGCCAAGAGAAGUAUUCAAACAGUAUCAUAGUAGCUGUCCCUUAAUCUUAGUCAACAAAAUAGUCUAUAAUAUUGUUAUUACACAUUUAUCUGAUAAAAGAUGAAAGACCAAAACUAAUUUCUAAUUGUGUUUAGGUGAGUAUUAACUAACCAUAUAAUCUAUAUGUUAGUGGGAGGGAAAACAUUUCUUUUCUUUUUAUAACUAUUAAGCAGUUACUACUUAGUCUAACAGUUGAGGAAUUUGGGAUGUUAAACUUUGAUUUGAUGAGGUGAGAAGAAAUUUAUGAUGGCUGAAAUUAUCACCAACUUACCAACAGAUAUCUAUAUCAUACUUUUUAUAGUUUGCAAACUGUUGUUUUAAUAUUAUUCCCCCCUAAUAAUAUGUUAUACCUCCAUAAAAUAUCUGUAAAUGAAGACAAAAGUGGACUUUAAAAAGUAAGCCUUUACGUGUUUGAUUCAGUCCACUGCUACAGGCUCACAAGCAGGUGUUUAUGUCUGAAAUUGGAGGUACCCAUUAUCUGAAAAUUCCUCUCCCAUAAGGUAGGAAUUAUUCAAACCCAAAUUAUAUCUAUUUCAAAUGUGAAAGAAUUAAAUGCCGUGAGAAGAACAAGCGAGUGAGUAAAAGACAAUCCCCAGGCAUGCAGAGGGCACUGCCCAUACCCGCAGAUGUCUGGUCAGACUCACUGCGAGAGCUCUGAGCUGACGGCAAACUGGAAAGAGCCCAUGUUCUUCCUGUGCUUGCAAGCCUCCUCGGGGACCACUGUGAGUCCUUGUGUAGUCUGUUUCAUUAGGAUGGCAUCUUACUGUUAUCUCCCACCCUCUCCUGCAUAGGUUGUUUAUCCCUCUCUACAAAGGCUCUAGCACGUUACUGGGACUGGAUAGUGCUCCAUUUCUGCUGUACGUGCUGUUUCCUGUUGGCACCUCAGUCUCAGGAUUCAGAGUCUGGAAACACGCUUAUAACUGGGAAGUCUAUUUUAUAACAAUGCUGUGAAGCCAGCUUUUGGGGUUUGUGCUAGGAAUUGAAGCUAGGGCCUCGUGCACUCCAGGGCAAGUGCUCUACUCACUAAACACUUUUCUGUUGAAUGAGAUUUUUCUUACCCUUUAAGGUGCUGUCUCCUAAAAUAAAAACCUCGAGACUGUCCCUACUUGUUGCUCACACACACACACACUAUUGCAAAUCCCAAAGAGAGAAGGAAACAAGAUAUUCCAGUAAUUAAGCAAUCAGAUCGGCUAAAAACGGAGGAAAGGUGAUUUCAAAAGGAAAUCGGUAGAGGUGCCAGGUAUUGCAGAAAUAGUUGCUAUACUGAGAUUUGUUUUCGGUUUUUACCUUGGCUUUUUUCUUAACUUUAACUUGCAAAGGUUUCAUCUUGUACUGGUAGUGAGUUUUUUAGACCCAGAAUUUUUCCAUUUGCAACAUGAAAGUAGCAGUCAUGUUAGAGACCACACGCACUGGCGCUUGUUUCACGCAUGAUGACUGCCAGAGAAUGGGGAAACUGGCUCAUAAAAACACUUAAUGUUGGUUUUGCUUUGUUUUAAAAAGAUAUGCAUGUUUUAGUACUGUAAAAAGUUGGUGUGUUUUGGGCCAAGGAACCUAGCUCCAGUAGCAGAAUAUGUGGCUAAAUUGCACAAGACUACCUGGCUCCAGUCCAGAGUCAAUCAAUCAAAGUCUGUCGGCUGGCAAGCACACCCUGCCCUCCCCCCUCAUACUCACAUUCACACAUACUCACACACACACACACUCACACACACUGAUGAAGUUUACUUCUGAGUCAGUCACAUAGAAGGAAGCAGCGUUGAAGUAGAGACGUCCACAUUCAGCUUUAAGGAAAUAGAGACCUUGUUCUCCUUUCCAGAACUAAAACUUAGAAAGCCAGGAUGGUGGCACACACCCAUAAUCCCAGCAGCAGGCUCAGGCACCAGGAUCACAAGUGUGAAGUCAGAUGAGGCAACAGAAAAUGCAAAUCCAGCCUGUCUCAAAACUGAAGCAAAAGUGCAGGAGUACAAAACCACAGACCGUGUUUUAAGCAUGGUCUCUGUAAAUGUUCCUAGCUAUCCUAACUUCGAGCUUCUUUUUAAUCUACUCAGAGUGGGUUCUAGGCCAAGUCUGUACCUCCUGCCAUGUGUAAUAGCCUGUGAUUCUAGCACUUGAAAGGCUGGGGUAAGAGGCUUUCUACAAGGCGAGGCCAUUCAGGGCUGCAUGGUGAAAUUCCAUCUCCACUUGAUACUCUAAUCAUUUCUCAGUUGUUCAGUGUUCAGGCGUGGCCAGUGGGCAGCAUGGAUGUAGGCCAUUCCUUCAGUGCAGAAAACUGUGCC